CCCGCCACUGUGCUAGUCUGUUAGUGACUUUGUAUAGUCCAGUGGAGGCGAAGAUUGAACCCAGCUCUAGGAAGCAGGGUUGCCCAGUCUGGUGGGUAACUCUGUGCCGAAAGGCCUGGAACAACA
ensembl:snoRNA SNORA65 Small nucleolar RNA SNORA65